UUGCCAGACUCCUACGGGAGGCAGCAGUGGGGAAUAUUGCACAAUGGGGGAAACCCUGAUGCAGCGACGCCGCGUGGGUGAAGGAGCACCUCGGUGCGUAAAGCCCUAUCGGCAGGGAAGAAAAGCGAACAGGUUCGCCUGGACGGUACCUGACUAAGAAGCCCCGGCUAACUACGUGCCAGCAGCCGCGGUAAUACGUAGGGGGCGAGCGUUAUCCGGAUUCACUGGGUGUAAAGGGAGCGUAGACGGCCAAGCAAGCCAGGGGUGAAAGCCCGGGGCCCAACCCCGGGACUGCCCUUGGAACUGCUUGGCUGGAGUGCGGGAGGGGCAGGCGGAAUUCCUGGUGUAGCGGUGAAAUGCGUAGAUAUCAGGAGGAACACCGGCGGCGAAGGCGGCCUGCUGGACCGCGACUGACGUUGAGGCUCGAAAGCGUGGGGAGCGAACAGGAUUAGAUACCCUCGUA
rnacentral:rRNA from 1 species